UCCGAUCAAGCGUCUUGAAGAGCAUUUGGUGGAUGCCUUGGUACAGAGAGGCGAUGAAGGACGUGACACGCUGCGAUAAGCUGUGGGGAGCCGUGAGUAGGCUUUGAUCCGCAGAUUUCCGAAUGGGGAAACCCAAACCAUUUUGGUUUAUCCCGCAAGGGAGGCGAACCCAGCGAACUGAAAUAUCUAAGUAGCUGGAGGAAAGGACAUCAACCGAGACUCCGUUAGUAGUGACGAGCGAACGCGGACCAGGCCAGUGGCCAAUUUGAAAACAACCAGAAUGACCUGGAAAGGUCAGCCAUAGUGGGUGAUAGCCCCGUAUGGGUAAUGUUUCAUUUUGGUCCUUGAGUAGGGCGGGACACGAGAAAUCCUGCUUGAAAAUGGGGGGACCACCCUCCAAGCCUAAGUACUACUCUGUGACCGAUAGUGAACAAGUACCGUGAGGGAAAGGUGAAAAGAACCCCUAUGAGGGGAGUGAAACAGACCUGAAACCGAAUGCUUACAAACAGUAGGAGCAACAUUAAGUUGUGACUGCGUACCUUUUGUAUAAUGGGUCAGCGAGUUAAUUUAUUGAGCAAGCUUAAGCCGUUAGGUGUAGGCGAAGCGAAAGCGAGUGUGAAUAGCGCGAUUUAGUUCGAUGGAUUAGACCCGAAACCGGGUGAUCUAGCUAUGGGCAGGUUGAAGGUGCGGUAACACGCACUGGAGGACCGAACCCACGUCUGUUGAAAAAGACGGGGAUGACCUGUGGCUAGGGGUGAAAGGCCAAUCAAACCCGGAGAUAGCUGGUUCUCCGCGAAAACUAUUUAGGUAGUGCGUUAUAUAUUACUGCCGGGGGUAGAGCACUGGAUGGGCUAGGGGGGCGCGAGCCUUACCAAACCUAACCAAACUCCGAAUACCGGUAAGUACAGUAUAGCAGACAGUCCAUGGGUGCUAAGGUCCUUGGACGAGAGGGAAAGAGCCCAGACCACCAGCUAAGGUCCCUAAGUUAUGGCUAAGUGGGAAAGGAUGUGGGAAGGCCAAGACAGCCAGGAGGUUGGCUUAGAAGCAGCCAUCCUUUAAA
rnacentral:rRNA from 1 species